rnacentral:rRNA from 1 species
UGUUUGGAGAGUUUGAUCCUGGCUCAGGACGAACGCUGGCGGCGUGCUUAACACAUGCAAGUCGAACGGGAUCUGCGUGGCCUUUGUGGUUGUGUGGUGAGAGUGGCGAACGGGUGAGUAACACGUGAGUAACCUGCCUUUUUCUUUGGGAUAACGCUCAGAAAUGGGUGCUAAUACUGGAUGUUCUGCGCUUUCCGCAUGGGGGGUGUGGGAAAGGGGCCUUUGUGGUUUCUGGAGGGAGAUGGGCUCGCGGCUUAUCAGCUUGUUGGUGGGGUGAUGGCUUACCAAGGCUUUGACGGGUAGCCGGCCUGAGAGGGUGGGCGGUCACAUUGGGACUGAGAUACGGCCCAGACUCCUACGGGAG